UACGUAGGGUGCAAGCGUUAAUCGGAAUUACUGGGCGUAAAGCGUGCGCAGGCGGUUAUGUAAGACAGGUGUGAAAUCCCCGGGCUUAACCUGGGAACUGCAUUUGUGACUGCAUAGCUAGAGUACGGUAGAGGGGGAUGGAAUUCCGCGUGUAGCAGUGAAAUGCGUAGAUAUGCGGAGGAACACCGAUGGCGAAGGCAGCCCCCUGGGCUAACACUGACGCUCAUGCACGAAGGCGUGGGGAGCAAACAGG
rnacentral:rRNA from 1 species